rnacentral:rRNA from 1 species
GAUGAACGCUGGCGGCGUGCCUAAUACAUGCAAGUAGAACGCUGAAGGAGGAGCUUGCUCUUCUGGAUGAGUUGCGAACGGGUGAGUAACGCGUAGGUAACCUGCCUGGUAGCGGGGGAUAACUAUUGGAAACGAUAGCUAAUACCGCAUGACAACAGUUAUUGCAUGAUAACUGUUGAAAAGGGGCACCUGCUCCACUACCAGAUGGACCUUCGUUGUAUUAUCUAGUUGUUGAGGUAACGGCUCACUAAGGCGACGAUACAGAGCCGACCUGAGAGGGGGGUCGGCCAACCUGGGAAUGAGACACGGCCCAGAGGGCUGAGGGAGGGAGCAAGAGGGAAACUUGGGGAAUAGACGGAAGACUGACCGAGCAACGCCGCGGGAGGGGAGAAGGUUGUCGGGUCGGAAAGCUCGGUUGUAAGGGAAGAACGAGUGUGAGAGUGGAAAGUUCACACUGUGACGGUAUCUGAUCAGAAAGGGACGGCUAACUACGUG